CGCUGUCCUGCAAUGAGUUUUAAAAUCAUUACUUUUAUCAUAUUGGUGGGAACCGUGUGAGUUAGGGAUAGCUACUCACAACCACCAGAGACCUUGUUCUGUAUUUUUGGUUCUCUUAACAACUAAUCUCCUGUGUGGUUCUUGAAUUGUUUCAGAAAUCAAAACAAAAUGGGUAGUGCUAACCAAGUGUUGAACAUUUGUGCUCCAAUCACAAAUCAACAAGAAUCUGUAUCUGUUGAGCAGAUUGUGAAUAACAUGAAACUUGCAAAGGAAGAAGGUGCUGAUACAGUGGAGGUUAGGCUGGACUGCAUCACCAACUUCUACCCUCUCCUUCACCUCAAAAUCAUCCUUCAAAAUAAACCACUACCCGUGCUUAUUGCUAACAGGAAAAAAUGGGACGGUAGUUUAUCCAAAGGCGAUGAGAGCAUGCGACUGGAAGCAUUGCAGUUAGCUGUGGAAUUGGGGGCUGAUUUCAUAGAGGUUGAGUUGAAGGAAGCUUCUUGUAUUCCUGCCUUGGUGGAACAUAAGAGAAAUCAUAAUAGUCAUGGAAAAAUAAUUGUUUCUUGCUAUGUGGAUGGCAUCACCCCUCCGCAAGAAGAACUCCUUCAACUUGUUGCACGCAUGCAAGCAACUGGAUCAGAUAUCAUCAAACUUGUUACACAUGCAGCUGAUAUAACAGAAGUUACAAGAAUAUUUAGCUUGUUUCCUCAUUGUCAGAAUUUGCAGGUACCAUUGAUUGCUUAUUCUUAUGGAGAAAGAGGACUUAUAAGCCACCUUCUAAGUCCAAAAUUUGGUGGGUUCUUUGUCUAUGGAUCAUUGGCAGGAAAUCCAAUCCCAGGAAUGCCUUCUCUUGACAGUCUCAAGGAAGCCUAUAAAUUGGAGGGUGUCAAUGAAGAUACUAAAGUUUUUGGGCUCAUCUCAAAACCAGUUAGCCACAGCAAAGGCCCUAUAUUGCAUAAUCCUUCCUUCAGACAUGUAAACUACAAUGGAAUCUAUGUCCCAAUGUUUGUUGACGAUCUUAAGGAGUUCUUUAGCACCUAUUCAAGCCCUGAUUUUAGUGGUUUUAGUGUUGGGAUUCCAUACAAGGAAGAAGUUCUAAGGUUUUGCGAUGAAGUCCAUCCGCUUGCUCAGUCUAUAGGAGCUGUUAAUACUAUCAUAAGGAGAGCAGGAGAUGGGAAGCUUGUUGGUUAUAAUACAGAUUGUGAGGCUGCAAUUACUGCAAUUGAGGAUGCACUCGUUGAGCGUGGUUGCAAUGAUGGUGGAGCAUCUUUAGGUUCACCCCUUGCUGGUCGAUUGUUUGUGCUAGUUGGUGCAGGAGGUGCAGGGAAAGCACUUGCAUUUGGUGCUAAAAGCAGAGGAGCUCGUCUAGUAAUAUUUGACAUUGAUUUUGAGCAAAAUCUCUUGCCUGUGCUGUAUCUGGUGAGGCUCAGCCUUACAAAGAGUUGGUCAACUUUCAGCCAGAGAAAGGGGCAAUUCUUGCAAAUGCAACACCCAUAGGAAUGCAUCCAAACACUGACAGAAUUCCAGUGGCAGAGGCAACUUUGGAACAUUAUUGGUUAGUCUUUGAUGCUGUAUAUACUCCAAGAAGAACAAGAUUAUUGAAGGAAGCAGAUGCUGCAGGAGCAACAACUGUGGGUGGAGUAGAAAUGUUCCUAAGGCAGGCUAUUGGUCAGUGUAAUCUUUUCACCGGCUUAGAAGCUCCUAAAGAAUUGAUGCGAGAAAUUGUUUUAUCCAAGUUUUGAAGAUGUUGUUUCAAUAAAUUGCUCCUAUGACUUGGUGGAGGCUUCUCAUUUCCUUAAGAACCAGAAUGUGUAAUGUGCCCUGCUAGCGACGGAUCAUGACAAAUAAUUUUAGAAGUGAAAAUAAUUUAUUCAAAAUUUAUAGUUUUGAAGUUGUAUUUAAUAUAAUUCCAAUUUAAAUAAACUAU